rnacentral:ncRNA from 1 species
AAGAUACAUGAAGAGAGGACUGACGUCCCGCCAACCUGCUAGAUCCGGCAAGGUGGUUUCCUUUUUUAAAAAGGCAUGUGACCUUCGGGUAACAAUGGGGUCCAUG